CAACUUUCAGCAAUGGAUCUCUUGGCUCUCGCAUCGAUGAAGAACGCAGCGAAUUGCGAUAUGUAAUGUGAAUUGCAGAUUUUCCGUGAAUCAUCGAAUUUUUGAACGCACCUUGCACUCCUUGGUAUUCCGAGGAGUAUGCCUGUUUGAGUGUCAUUAAAUUCU
rnacentral:rRNA from 1 species